CACAAUAAGUAAAGGUGGACCAGUGGUUGGAGCGUCCAGUGUGUUCAUGUCAACUUCACUCUUCAUAGAUUAUCCCUGAAGAAUCACGUCCGUCUCAUAGUCCACAUGUUGGUCAUCGUUGUUUAGGUCAUUCCUCUGCAGUCAAGGAGAUUCUCUUUGGUGAUUGUAGAAAAAUAAGACAUUCAGGCGGUGUUAUUCUAAACUGAUUUAGAUCAAUUCAAGCUUCUUCUCUGCAAAGAAUGUAUUUCUUUAUUUGAUACCAAACAUUUUUAUAUAUUAUCAAAAAACAAACUUCUGCUGACUUGAAAAUGCCCAGACAAGAUCCAUUAUCAUGGUGGCUGCUGUGCACCAGUAUUGACCCAGUGCUGUAUCGAACCCUACAUCUCCGGCAAGGCAGUUAGAAGACUCAAAAGAAGUAUUGAUUGAUAAUAG